rnacentral:lncRNA from 1 species
AUUUUGCCUAAUAACAUUAUUUUAAAAUGGUUAAAAAAGGGCGAUUGACAAAACCAAGUUCAUAAAGUACAGGUUAGAUUUAAAUAAUUACACAAUCUUUGGAGUAGAAAUGCGGGUAUGAAGUAAUUUUUUUCCCCUCCUCUGGACAACGAAGUAAGCUAAAGCGAAACAAUGAGUGCUGUUUAAGUUUUUUACGUCGGGCCCGACCGUUUUCAGAAUUAUUGAGAUCAUAAAUUACUACCAUAAAGAGGGAAUGGCUUUAUAAUUUGCGAGUACGAAUGACGGCCGUGUUGUAUGUCUGUCGGUUUUUACGAUGACCAGCGGAGAGUAUCGAUGCUCGUCCUUUACGGAGUAGGCGGGAAACGAUUUUGCUUUGGCCAAGAUUACAUCCAGGUAUUAAAAGUUAAUUUAGUAAAAGUUAAAACAGUUAUAAAGGGCGCCGUAAACGUAGGUCGGCGCCGUUUUAUUAUUAGAAGAUUUAGAAAAGAUCUGCCAAUGUUUUUAAUUCGCUAGUUGUGGCAUUGUUUAGAUAACUGCGCUCUUUAUUAAAAGAAAGGAAUGGAAUUUUUUUAUACUGUUGACGUCAGAGCGGAAUCGGCUGUAUUGCGUAAGAAUAACGGAGCUAGCACAUUUUUAGUUGAUUUGUCAUCUCGACAAAAAGGAAGUAUUGUCUGUUGCCAACAGAUGUCAGCUCUUCCUGGUGCAGACUCUCGCAUCUUCGAUAUCCGACAGCGAGAAUUGGCGGGACCCUGCCGUUUGUGUGGCGUCGAAGGAGGGUUUUUCCGACACACUUCUCGCCUUCCAUGAUAUUACGAGACUUAGGAACCGGAGACGGGGAGCUUCACUAAUGGGGAAUUUGUAGCGUGUAAUUAUUCCAUAAAGACGUAGUUGGGUAGAUAGGUGACGUCACUAGGCCUUACCAUUUGAUCGACGAUGACAGAUGGCCCCGGUUUGCCAUCUUCACCGACAGAUGGUGGUACACAACUUCCGCUGAUGUCUUCUCUCCGUGACAAGCGAAGGUGAUAAGGUGUGUCGGUUGGUUGCACCGUCCGUUAUUCUGACGAUAUCGUCGACUUAAACUCGUAAACGUCAGUAUUAAGGCCGAUUCUGUAACAAUCCUUUUUCUAGCAACUAAAAAUUCCGCCGAGUAACACAAUCUGGAUUUUCUUUUGGCCGCCGAUCGAAUUGUCGAAAUGGCCCAAAUCUAAUUAAGUUGGGUUAUCUUCUCUCCAUUCUUCGGCCAAAUUUCAUUUAUUAUUCCGUUUCCAACAUUUAUGGACAUCUUCAAAUUCUGUUAAAACAAAGAAAUAAAACUUUUUAUUUUCCGAACUAGCAAUCCGGAGAGUGGUCCUGUCCAUCCACAUCUCGUAUGCCAGUUUGCAACUCUACCGAGACGUAACCGGAUCAUUUUAAAUCAUUGAUUGAAAACAGGCGAUCGAUAUUUGGUAGACCUAUGUUAAAAAAAGGUAAUUGGAAAAUAUCAUUCGUUUGUUAUUUUCUCGCCAUUGUUCCAACAUUUAGUUAUAGCAAUUCCGAUGCCGGUUAUUUAUUAUCCGAAAAAGAUGAGGAUUGAUUAAUGAAGUGGCCAUUAUUCGAUAGAGAAUUUUUAAAGAUUACUUGUAGAUAAAUUACGGUUGGAAUCGAUUUUUCAUGCAAUAUUUAUACGUCUAAAUACAACAGAAUUCUUUAUGCUGCAGACAUCGAUUUUGUGAUUCUUUUCUUCCCGUUCCUAUCCAGAAUCGAAGACCGACGAAACGAUGAAGAUAUUAAAAAAGAGGACAAGUUUCUCGACUUCGUCUGGAUAAUUCUCAAUCAUCCUCAAUUAGAAUAUUCUAAACUGCAUAUUUCGAAUUAUAAGCGGGACAAAUGACAGUUAAUUUCGUAUUUGUUGAAGCAUAGCUGUGUACGGGAUAAAUUUAAGCUUCUACAUACUCGGAGGAAUAGCCAGAUAUUGCAUUAAUGCUUAUUAUCAAACUGAAUAGAGAGCGAACAUGUUUAAGCUGUUAUGCCUUUAGGGAGCUUUGUUAAACAGAUAUCAAGCGGAAUUUUGCUACUUCACUUUCGAUAAACUACUUCGCCCCUCCGUCGCAGAUGUCUCGGAGAUUCAUUUAAUGCAUGAAUUAUGCAUCAGAUAAACAUCCACUCGCUAGAUCUAACGACUAAAAUCCAAAAAAAAAAUUCUUGUAACGUUUUUUCCAGUAUCUCUCUACUGGCGCGGCCAGACAUUUGGGAGGGGAUAAUUUUUCUUCCUCCUAAAAAGAUCGAUUCUAUACGUUGUCAUAGUAACCAAUUUGCAACCUCCGCUUGCGGGAAAAGGGAAGUUGAAGAGAAUAUCCUCGACAGUUGGUAAAAAUGAAUUUUUCCUCCGGCUGAGAUUAUUUGCGUCCGAUUCUUCCCCUCAGAUAUUCUCUAAUUUGCAACUUGAUUAAAAAAAGAAACUAAACUCUGGAAAUGAACUUACUCGACAACCAACGCAGAAUAACAUUGGCCAUAUAACUAGCACGUGGAACUGUCUAUCUUUCAUUGGAACACUGUACUAUUUUUAAAUUAUGUUUAAUGGCAGAAUCGAGGGAUAUUCACGAAAAUAUAUGUUACUUUUUAAAGCUGAUUAAAACUAUUUUGAAUAUUUUUUGUCUGUAUAACAAUGAAGGAUUUCGACACUUAAUACCUUUUUAUAAAAUUGUUUUGAUUUUUUUUUCGAUUUUUAAUAAAGUUACGUUUCGUUUUAGGAAUAUCAAACAUGGGAUAGAAGUAAACACGUUUAAUCCCUAGAGUCAUUAUUUUAUCGGAGAACAAAUAAAGGAGAAAAGUUGAAAAAUAGAAAAGCGGCUGUUUGUCGUGGAAAGUACGCGUAGGAAUGGUGUAUGGAGCGCUUUAAAGUGCAAAUUCUUAUCGGAUAGUCGAAAUGACUUGUUUGUCUAAGAUAACUUAUGAUUACAAAGCAACAUCUAUUUGAAGAUAGAGAUUACUGCAAUCUCUGGGGAAGUGCAGACAUGGCUGAAUCACUGUUUGAUUUGUCUUCCAUCUCCAUGACGUCACAUACGCUGCAGGCUAUUCUGGUCGAAGCCUACAUUCCAGUUUAUUUAGUUGUAGCCUAUUGGUCGAUAUACUCUUUUGUUCUCCUGAAACGAAUAUCCAAGCUGCAUUUUCUCCUUUAGGCUCCUCUGCCAACCAUUCCAAAUAUAAUAAUGCCGUUACAGCUAUUCCUAAAAGAAAAAAAUUAUUAUUACGUUUAAAUAUUCUUUCACCUGUGUUAAUUUUUUAUACAACCUAUAUAAUAAAAUUUUUACAAUUUAGUAAUGCGAUGAUAAAAUGCUGCGGAUCACAUUUGUCUUCAUUUUAUAUGCCUGGAAGCUAAGUUUUAAUGAGGAAAUAAAUAUAUAAACA